rnacentral:rRNA from 1 species
AUUGAACGCUGGCGGCAGGCCUAACACAUGCAAGUCGAGCGGAGCGGCGGACGGGUGAGUAAUGCCUAGGAAUCUGCCUGGUAGUGGGGGAUAACGUCCGGAAACGGGCGCGAAUACCGCAUACUCUCAGAUGAGCAUAGGUCGGAUUUGCUAGGUGGUGGGGUAAAGGCCUACCAAGGCGACGAUCCGUAACUGGUCUGGGGGGAUGAUCAGUCACAACGGAACUGAGCCACGGUCCAGAAUCCUACGGGAGGCAGCAGUGGGGAAUAUUGGGCAAUGGGCGAAAGCCUUAUCCAGCCAUUCCGCGUGUGUGAAGAAGGUCUUCGGAUUGUAAAGCACUUUAAGUUGGGAGGCGUUACCCACAGAAAAAGCACCGGCUAACUUCGUGCCAGCAGCCGCGGUAAUAC